UACGUAGGCAGCAAGCGUUGUUCGGAUUCAUUGGGCGUAAAGAGCUCGUAGGUGGCUCUGUAAGUCGGAGGUGAAAGACCACGGCUCAACCGUGGAAACGCCUUCGAAACUGUGGAGCUUGAGGCUGGGAGAGGAAAUCGGAAUUCCUGGUGUAGCGGUGAAAUGCGUAGAUAUCAGGAGGAACACCGGUGGUGUAGACGGCUUUCUGGACCGAUAUUGACGCUGAGGAGCGAAAGCGUGGGGAGCGAACAGG
rnacentral:rRNA from 1 species